rnacentral:rRNA from 1 species
GACGAACGCUGGCGGCGUGCUUAACACAUGCAAGUCGAACGGAAAGGCCCUGCUUUUGUGGGGUGCUCGAGUGGCGAACGGGUGAGUAACACGUGAGUAACCUGCCCUUGACUUUGGGAUAACUUCAGGAAACUGGGGCUAAUACCGGAUAGGAGCUCCUGCUGCAUGGUGGGGGUUGGAAAGUUUCGGCGGUUGGGGAUGGACUCGCGGCUUAUCAGCUUGUUGGUGGGGUAGUGGCUUACCAAGGCUUUGACGGGUAGCCGGCCUGGGAGGGUGACCGGCCACAUUGGGACUGGGAUACGGCCCAGACUCCUACGGGAGGCAGCAGUGGGGAAUAUUGCACAAUGGGCGGAAGCCUGAUGCAGCAACGCCGCGGGCGGGAUGACGGCCUUCGGGUUGUAAACCGCUUUCGCCUGUGACGAAGCGUGAGUGACGGUAAUGGGUAAAGAAGCACCGGCUAACUACGUG